CAUCCAGAGACUGCCUUCGUUAAGUCUACACAUCUAAGAGGAGCAGCUAUGUCUCCAAGCAGAUGUGCUAUUGCCUGCCAGCCUCCUGAGGCCUUCCUCAGAGUCCUUGACUAGGUUCUGUGGUCCCGUCAGUGGAAGGCUGGUGUUUGAACUCUGUGGAAUAAGGGGCUUGAGCUGGGAUUUUUGAGCAAUUUGAUCAUGGUUAGAAUGCUGGGACCUUGCAGCAGUGCCUGGUUUUGGGAAGCAGAAGAUUGCAUUGUUGCUUGACAUUCUUCCCCUUUGACAAAGGGAGUGUUCUUUUUUUCUUUUUAACAUGAUUCAUCAAAAUAUCUCACAAAGCACACCUCACGAAGAUGAAUGGACUCAUUUAGGUGAAAACACCUGCAAGGUAACUCAGAAUUACAGUCAAGGUCAGAAAAGAUGCCAGAACCAGAGUAGAAGAUUGAGAAAGAGACACCUACAGAGAGUGACAAAAUGCUUGUGAAAAAGAAAUAUUGAGUUUUGGCUCAGAAAUAUAGAAAUGUCAAAAGGUCACACCAUGUAAGCAUGAUCUGAACAUUUUCAAGUCUUGAUUUCUAAUAAUGGUAAUGUAAUGUAAAUAUUUCUUGGAAUUAUCCAUGGGAGGUAAUCCGGAACAAAUCUUGCUACAAAGGGCCCUGCCUGGACCCCAAGAUGUAUCCUGCAUUUUCCAACAUAGGAAGCUGGCUUAUAAUGAGGUCAUUCACACAAUCAAAACCUGUGUUCUACCCAGGUUUGGGAGCUGUGUAUGUUCCCAAUUUUCAGUUGUGUAGAAGCAAGAUAGGAGGAAAACCUGGGUAGAAGUGAUUGUGUGGAAGCACGGUAGGAGGAAAAGCUACCCAGGUUUUCAUCCUACCUUGCUUCUACACAACUGAAAAUUCGGAGCAAUUUUGGGUGAAUGUGGCUAGGGGGGCUGUCAAGGAGAGCAGCUGCACUUCUGAAUUUGCGACUACAUCACUGGGGGCAACAAUCAGGUUAUACCUGUAGUAAUGUUACAAUGAGGCUUUCCACAUGAGCAGUCUGGAGAGCCUUACCAGGCUCUGCAGGGAGAGUGGGCUUAGCCUGUUCUCCACACAGACAAGCAGGGAACAAUCCCUGGGCGACCGGAUCAACCACCCACAUGACUACGGGCUUCGUGACGGAGCUGGUGGGGGCAGUGGGGAUGAGGGGCCACCUGGUCCCCAGAAGUCCCAGAAUGCCCCACGCAAGUCCAUGGGGCAUUCUGGGGAGACCCCUGAGGCUGGGAGACCCCUGAGGCUGAGGCUAGGGGGUCUACCCAUGUGUUGCCACUCCAUGGAGCCACGCCAUGGUGACACACGAUCAGUAAAACGGGGUUAACGGAGCGCUUCUUCCGCUAACCUCGUUUAAGUGGGGGAACUUAAAUGGGCUAACUGCCGGGAGCUCCUAGCGGUUCCCACAACUGCAGGAAAGCGGGCUGGGCUCCCUUAGCCCGCUUUCCUGCUGUCAUGAGAAUAGCCUCAAUAAAUAUUUUUACCCACCUCCCAAGCAUCCUACAUGCUCAUCUGCAAAAUGAGCUCUUACCAAGAUUAGGACUCUUAAAGAAGAAAGAUCAUUUAGCAAGAGCAUGGCAAAGCCCCCCACCCCAUCCUUCUCCACUCCCCACCUAUCAUAACUGUGUCCAUGUCAAGAGAUUUUGGCCAAGGCUGUCUGAGUCGCAUUAUUUUUACUGGGUCCUUCAAGAGCACUUUGCCUUGGAGUAAAAUUCUGGGCUCAUUAAGUUUCCCAUUAGAUCUCAAGGAGACAAACUGUUGUGGGGGCGGAUGUGACACAGUGCAUGACAUGUGUGUGGGAUCUCUGAGCGUGCAUUUUUCAACAUAUAUAUUUUAGUUACUGUGAUUAUACUCAGGAAAGCUUCCCCCCCUUCCUAUUAAGAAAAUUAAGGCUGGACCCUAAUGAUACUAUUUAUUUGGCUUUCUUCAAGCAUCAUGCAUAUUAUCAAGCAAUAUGGUGGAGCCAGUAUAGUUAUACAGAGUAUAUAUCUCGUAUAGUGUUUACAGUGUUGGACUAGGACCGGGGAGGCCAGAUUUCAAAUCCCCAUUCAGUCAUGAAACUCACUGGGUGGGUGACCCUGAGCCAGACUCUUAUCUCUCAGUCUAACCUACAUCACAGGAUUGUUGUGAAGAUAAACACAGGCAUGUAUGCUGCUCUUCUUGGAGGAAGAGGGCUAUGCAAAUAGGCUAUGUUCUCCAAGGGUUUUGGAGCCCUGGAUGGCCAGAAUUCGAGAAUGCAUAGCUUCAGUGUCUGGCUCUACAGAUAAGUGGUGAGCCCAGGGAGUGUGAGAGGAAUGGCUGUGGCACAUGUUUGUAGGGAGUGACAUGGCUAUUCAGUGCAUCCGCAUAGCUUCUCUUCCCAGAUACACAGGCUGACCUACCACACAAAGGUACAUCAGCCCAGUAGGAGUGUGCAAACACAUUCAAAUCUGAACCAGUUCAAUAUUGAACCGGUUCAGUUCGAAGGUUCGGAGUCGAGCCGAACCACCUCUGGCUUGACCGCGGACCAAACACACACACACAC